UGGGGAAUAUUGCGCAAUGGACGAAAGUCUGACGCAGCGACGCCGCGUGUAGGAUGACGCCUUUCGGGGUGUAAACUACUGUUGCCCGGGACGAAACUCCUUUUUCGAAAGGACUGACGGUACCGGGUGAGGAAGCACCGGCUAACCCUGUGCCAGCAGCCGCGGUAAUACAGAGGGUGCGAGCGUUGUCCGGAAUCACUGGGCGUAAAGGGUGCGUAGGUGGCUUGGUAAGCGUGUGGUGAAAGUCCGGGGCUCAACCCCGGAUCUGCCGUGCGAACUGCUGAGCUCGAGCAAUGUAGAGGCAGGUGGAAUUUCGGGUGUAGCGGUGGAAUGCGUGGAGAUCCGAAAGAACACCAGUGGCGAAGGCGGCCUGCUGGGCAUUAGCUGACACUGAGGCACGACAGCGUGGGGAGCAAA
rnacentral:rRNA from 1 species